UACGAAGGGUGCAAGCGUUACUCGGAAUUACUGGGCGUAAAGCGUGCGUAGGUGGUUUGUUAAGUCUGCUGUGAAAGCCCCGGGCUCAACCUGGGAAUGGCAGUGGAUACUGGCAAGCUAGAGUGCGGUAGAGGGGUGUGGAAUUCCCGGUGUAGCGGUGAAAUGCGUAGAGAUCGGGAGGAACACCAGUGGCGAAGGCGGCACCCUGGACCAGCACUGACACUGAGGCACGAAAGCGUGGGGAUCAAACAGG
rnacentral:rRNA from 1 species